rnacentral:rRNA from 1 species
AACGAACGCUGGCGGCAUGCUUAACACAUGCAAGUCGAACGAGACCUUCGGGUCUAGUGGCGCACGGGUGCGUAACGCGUGGGAAUCUGCCCUUUGCUACGGGAUAACUCAGAGAAAUUUGUGCUAAUACCGUAUAAUGUCUACGGACCAAAGAUUUAUCGGCAAAGGAUGAGCCCGCGUAAGAUUAGCUUGUUGGUGGGGUAAAGGCCUACCAAGGCGACGAUCUUUAGCUGGUCUGAGAGGAUGAUCAGCCAGACUGGGACUGAGACACGGCCCAGACUCCAACGGGAGGCAGCAGUGGGGAAUAUUGGACAAUGGGCGAAAGCCUGAUCCAGCAAUGCCGCGUGAGUGAUGAAGGCCUUAGGGUUGUAAAGCUCUUUUACCAGGGAUGAUAAUGACAGCACCUGGAGAAUAAGCUCCGGCUAACUUCGUGCCAGCAGCCGCCGUAA